rnacentral:misc_RNA from 1 species
GAACGCACCUUGCACCCUCUGGUAUUCCGGAGGGUAUGCCCGGUUGAGUGUCAUGAAUAUCUCAACUCCAAUGUUUUGUCAAGGUCUUGUCGACUCGUCCUGCUGGCCUAGCGAGGCUGCUGCGACUGUUGCGAGGCUGAAGCGUUGGAGCUUGGACUUGAGCUCUGUUGGCCUUCUCAGGUUGACUGGCUAGAAAUGCAUCAGCGAUGACGUCCCUUGGGUCCAUCUCGGCGUGAUAAGUUGAUCGUCGCAAAGGUCCUUGGGUUGGCUCGCUCCUAAUGGUCUUCGGACAGCCUCUGACGUUUACACCUCAACUCGGGUAGGACUACCCGCUGAACUUAAG